GUGGAAUUACAUAUACCUGUUUUGUGCACGAUUAUUUUCUGAAUUACUUCUUUGGGCUUAGGCUUCAUAUUUUUGAGUGCACAUAUACUAGCCUGGCAUGUUAGAUUUUGACGAGUCUAAAGGAUGAAUGAGUUUAGUUCUUUGAUGCCUUAUUUGUAAAAUCAAACUACUCUUUCAGUCAGCUAUAGCAAAAGCAAGUUAGUCAGUUGUCUCAAAAGCAUACGGACAGGAAUAGUAUUCACUUCUUGUGAAAUUUGUAUAACUGUAGUUUGGAUG
rnacentral:misc_RNA from 1 species